CCUUCGAUAGCUCAGUUGGUAGAGCGGUGGACUGUAGAAAAUUUGAAACGAAGUGAUAUGGUAGAGAUAAUGUAAUCAUUAAAAAGUUGCAUUAAGAGCUUAUCACUUUCAAAUAAUAGAAAUCCAUAGGUCACUGGUUCAAAUCCGGUUCGAAGGA
rfam:Anopheles melas strain CM1001059_A cont2.2468, whole genome shotgun sequence.